UUGGCCGGUGAUGAGGACUUCUCCCACUCGCGUUCGAGUCCCCCUACCAAGACUAUCUGUCUCCUAUUACAAAAGCAGCCUCCCAGUGUUGCUGGUUGGCUGG
ensembl:snoRNA SNORD33 Small nucleolar RNA Z195/SNORD33/SNORD32 family